UUAAGCGACUAAGCGUACACGGUGGAUGCCCUGGCAGUCAGAGGCGAUGAAGGACGUGCUAAUCUGCGAAAAGCGUCGGUAAGGUGAUAUGAACCGUUAUARCCGGCGAUGUCCGAAUGGGGAAACCCAGUGYRAUUCGUURCACUAUCGUUAACUGAAUACAUAGGUUAACGAGGCGAACCGGGGGAACUGAAACAUCUAAGUACCCCGAGGAAAAGAAAUCAACCGAGAUUCCCCCAGUAGCGGCGAGCGAACGGGGAGCAGCCCAGAGUCUGAAUCAGCUUGUGUGUUAGUGGAACGGUCUGGAAAGUCCGACGGUACAGGGUGAUAGUCCCGUACACCAAAAUGCACAGGYUGUGAACUCGAAGAGUAGGGCGGGACACGUGGUAUCCUGUCUGAAUAUGGGGGGACCAUCCUCCAAGGCUAAAUACUCCUGACUGACCGAUAGUGAACCAGUACCGUGAGGGAAAGGCGAAAAGAACCCCGGCGAGGGGAGUGAAAAAGAACCUGAAACCGUGUACGUACAAGCAGUGGGAGCACCUUCGGGUGUGACUGCGUACCUUUUGUAUAAUGGGUCAGCGACUUAUAUUCUGUAGCAAGGUUAACCGUAUAGGGGAGCCGCAGGGAAACCGAGUCUUAACUGGGCGUUAAGUUGCAGGGUAUAGACCCGAAACCCGGUGAUCUAGCCAUGGGCAGGUUGAAGGUUGGGUAACACUAACUGGAGGACCGAACCGACUAAUGUUGAAAAAUUAGCGGAUGACUUGUGGCUGGGGGUGAAAGGCCAAUCAAACCGGGAGAUAGCUGGUUCUCCCCGAAAGCUAUUUAGGUAGCGCCUCGUGAAYUCAUCUUCGGGGGUAGAGCACUGUUUCGGCUAGGGGGUCAUCCCGACUUACCAACCCGAUGCAAACUACGAAUACCGAAGAAUGUUAUCACGGGAGACACACGGCGGGUGCUAACGUCCGUCGUGAAGAGGGAAACAACCCAGACCGCCAGCUAAGGUCCCAAAGUCAUGGUUAAGUGGGAAACGAUGUGGGAAGGCACAGACAGCCAGGAUGUUGGCUUAGAAGCAGCCAUCAUUUAAAGAAAGCGUAAUAGCUCACUGGUCGAGUCGGCCUGCGCGGAAGAUGUAACGGGGCUAAACCAUGCACCGAAGCUGCGGCAGCGACACUAUGUGUUGUUGGGUAGGGGAGCGUUCUGUAAGCCUGCGAAGGUGWSCUGUGAGGSWUGCUGGAGGUAUCAGAAGUGCGAAUGCUGACAUAAGUAACGAUAAAGCGGGUGAAAAGCCCGCUCGCCGGAAGACCAAGGGUUCCUGUCCAACGUUAAUCGGGGCAGGGUGAGUCGACCCCUAAGGCGAGGCCGAAAGGCGUAGUCGAUGGGAAACAGGUUAAUAUUCCUGUACUUGGUGUUACUGCGAAGGGGGGACGGAGAAGGCUAUGUUAGCCGGGCGACGGUUGUCCCGGUUUAAGCAUGUAGGCUGRUURUCCAGGCAAAUCCGGAUAAUCAAGGCUGAGGUGUGAUGACGAGGCACUACGGUGCUGAAGUAACAAAUGCCCUGCUUCCAGGAAAAGCCUCUAAGCAUCAGGUAACAUYAAAUCGUACCCCAAACCGACACAGGUGGUCAGGUAGAGAAUACCAAGGCGCUUGAGAGAACUCGGGUGAAGGAACUAGGCAAAAUGGUGCCGUAACUUCGGGAGAAGGCACGCUGGUGUGUAGGUGAAGYCCCUGCGGRUGGAGCUGAGACCAGUCGAAGAUACCAGCUGGCUGCAACUGUUUAUUAAAAACACAGCACUGUGCAAACACGAAAGUGGACGUAUACGGUGUGACGCCUGCCCGGUGCCGGAAGGUUAAUUGAUGGGGUUAUCCGUAAGGAGAAGCUCUUGAUCGAAGCCCCGGUAAACGGCGGCCGUAACUAUAACGGUCCUAAGGUAGCGAAAUUCCUUGUCGGGUAAGUUCCGACCUGCACGAAUGGCGUAAUGAUGGCCAGGCUGUCUCCACCCGAGACUCAGUGAAAUUGAACUCGCUGUGAAGAUGCAGUGUACCCGCGGCAAGACGGAAAGACCCCGUGAACCUUUACUAUAGCUUGACACUGAACAUUGAGCCUUGAUGUGUAGGAUAGGUGGGAGGCUUUGAAGCGUGGACGCCAGUCUGCGUGGAGCCAACCUUGAAAUACCACCCUUUAAUGUUUGAUGUUCUAACGUUGGCCCCUKACCGGGGUUGCGGACAGUGUCUGGUGGGUAGUUUGACUGGGGCGGUCUCCUCCCAAAGCGUAACGGAGGAGCACGAAGGUUAGCUAAUCCUGGUCGGACAUCAGGAGGUUAGUGCAAUGGCAUAAGCUAGCUUGACUGCGAGCGUGACGGCGCGAGCAGGUGCGAAAGCAGGUCAUAGUGAUCCGGUGGUUCUGAAUGGAAGGGCCAUCGCUCAACGGAUAAAAGGUACUCCGGGGAUAACAGGCUGAUACCGCCCAAGAGUUCAUAUCGACGGCGGUGUUUGGCACCUCGAUGUCGGCUCAUCACAUCCUGGGGCUGAAGUAGGUCCCAAGGGUAUGGCUGUUCGCCAUUUAAAGUGGUACGCGAGCUGGGUUUAGAACGUCGUGAGACAGUUCGGUCCCUAUCUGCCGUGGGCGCUGGAGAAUUGAGGGGRGCUGCUCCUAGUACGAGAGGACCGGAGUGGACGCAUCACUGGUGUUCGGGUUGUCAUGCCAAUGGCACUGCCCGGUAGCUAAAUGCGGAAGAGAUAAGUGCUGAAAGCAUCUAAGCACGAAACUUGCCCCGAGAUGAGUUCUCCCUGAGACUUUAAG
rnacentral:rRNA from 1 species